CUACGGGUGGCUGCAGUUAGGAAUCUUUUGCAAUGCGCGAAAGCGUGACAGAGCGAGCCAUAGUGCUUUCCAUUAGGAAAGCUUUUGUCGAAUGUAAAAAGUUCGGCGAAUAAGGACUGGGCAAGACUAGUGCCAGCCGCCGCGGUAAUACUAGCUGUUCAAGUCGCAGCCAUUUUUAUUGGGUCUAAAACAUCCGUAGCUCGCUUGGUGAGUUUCCUGUGAAAUUUCAAUUCUAAAAAUUGGAGCGUGCAGGAAGUACUGCCGAGCUAGAGACUGGUAGACGGAAGGAGUACGUUCAAAGUAGUGGUAAAAUACGUUAAUCUUGGACGGACUAACAAUAGCGAAGGCAUCUUCCGAGAACAGUUCUGACAGUAAGGGAUGAAAGCCAGGGGCGCAAAACGGAUUAGAUACCCUCGUAGUC
rnacentral:rRNA from 1 species